rnacentral:rRNA from 1 species
GGGUUGUGAGGUUAAGCGACUAAGCGUACACGGUGGAUGCCCUGGCAGUCAGAGGCGAUGAAGGACGUGCUAAUCUGCGAAAAGCGUCGGUAAGGUGAUAUGAACCGUUAUAGCCGGCGAUGUCCGAAUGGGGAAACCCAGUGCAAUUCGUUGCACUAUCGUUAACUGAAUACAUAGGUUAACGAGGCGAACCGGGGGAACUGAAACAUCUAAGUACCCCGAGGAAAAGAAAUCAACCGAGAUUCCCCCAGUAGCGGCGAGCGAACGGGGAGCAGCCCAGAGUCUGAAUCAGCUUGUGUGUUAGUGGAACGGUCUGGAAAGUCCGACGGUACAGGGUGAUAGUCCCGUACACCAAAAUGCACAGGUUGUGAACUCGAAGAGUAGGGCGGGACACGUGGUAUCCUGUCUGAAUAUGGGGGGACCAUCCUCCAAGGCUAAAUACUCCUGACUGACCGAUAGUGAACCAGUACCGUGAGGGAAAGGCGAAAAGAACCCCGGCGAGGGGAGUGAAAAAGAACCUGAAACCGUGUACGUACAAGCAGUGGGAGCACCUUCGGGUGUGACUGCGUACCUUUUGUAUAAUGGGUCAGCGACUUAUAUUCUGUAGCAAGGUUAACCGUAUAGGGGAGCCGCAGGGAAACCGAGUCUUAACUGGGCGUUAAGUUGCAGGGUAUAGACCCGAAACCCGGUGAUCUAGCCAUGGGCAGGUUGAAGGUUGGGUAACACUAACUGGAGGACCGAACCGACUAAUGUUGAAAAAUUAGCGGAUGACUUGUGGCUGGGGGUGAAAGGCCAAUCAAACCGGGAGAUAGCUGGUUCUCCCCGAAAGCUAUUUAGGUAGCGCCUCGUGAACUCAUCUUCGGGGGUAGAGCACUGUUUCGGCUAGGGGGUCAUCCCGACUUACCAACCCGAUGCAAACUACGAAUACCGAAGAAUGUUAUCACGGGAGACACACGGCGGGUGCUAACGUCCGUCGUGAAGAGGGAAACAACCCAGACCGCCAGCUAAGGUCCCAAAGUCAUGGUUAAGUGGGAAACGAUGUGGGAAGGCACAGACAGCCAGGAUGUUGGCUUAGAAGCAGCCAUCAUUUAAAGAAAGCGUAAUAGCUCACUGGUCGAGUCGGCCUGCGCGGAAGAUGUAACGGGGCUAAACCAUGCACCGAAGCUGCGGCAGCGACACUAUGUGUUGUUGGGUAGGGGAGCGUUCUGUAAGCCUGCGAAGGUGUGCUGUGAGGCAUGCUGGAGGUAUCAGAAGUGCGAAUGCUGACAUAAGUAACGAUAAAGCGGGUGAAAAGCCCGCUCGCCGGAAGACCAAGGGUUCCUGUCCAACGUUAAUCGGGGCAGGGUGAGUCGACCCCUAAGGCGAGGCCGAAAGGCGUAGUCGAUGGGAAACAGGUUAAUAUUCCUGUACUUGGUGUUACUGCGAAGGGGGGACGGAGAAGGCUAUGUUAGCCGGGCGACGGUUGUCCCGGUUUAAGCAUGUAGGCUGAUUGUCCAGGCAAAUCCGGAUAAUCAAGGCUGAGGUGUGAUGACGAGGCACUACGGUGCUGAAGUAACAAAUGCCCUGCUUCCAGGAAAAGCCUCUAAGCAUCAGGUAACAUCAAAUCGUACCCCAAACCGACACAGGUGGUCAGGUAGAGAAUACCAAGGCGCUUGAGAGAACUCGGGUGAAGGAACUAGGCAAAAUGGUGCCGUAACUUCGGGAGAAGGCACGCUGGUGUGUAGGUGAAGCCCCUGCGGGUGGAGCUGAGACCAGUCGAAGAUACCAGCUGGCUGCAACUGUUUAUUAAAAACACAGCACUGUGCAAACACGAAAGUGGACGUAUACGGUGUGACGCCUGCCCGGUGCCGGAAGGUUAAUUGAUGGGGUUAUCCGUAAGGAGAAGCUCUUGAUCGAAGCCCCGGUAAACGGCGGCCGUAACUAUAACGGUCCUAAGGUAGCGAAAUUCCUUGUCGGGUAAGUUCCGACCUGCACGAAUGGCGUAAUGAUGGCCAGGCUGUCUCCACCCGAGACUCAGUGAAAUUGAACUCGCUGUGAAGAUGCAGUGUACCCGCGGCAAGACGGAAAGACCCCGUGAACCUUUACUAUAGCUUGACACUGAACAUUGAGCCUUGAUGUGUAGGAUAGGUGGGAGGCUUUGAAGCGUGGACGCCAGUCUGCGUGGAGCCAACCUUGAAAUACCACCCUUUAAUGUUUGAUGUUCUAACGUUGGCCCCUGACCGGGGUUGCGGACAGUGUCUGGUGGGUAGUUUGACUGGGGCGGUCUCCUCCCAAAGCGUAACGGAGGAGCACGAAGGUUAGCUAAUCCUGGUCGGACAUCAGGAGGUUAGUGCAAUGGCAUAAGCUAGCUUGACUGCGAGCGUGACGGCGCGAGCAGGUGCGAAAGCAGGUCAUAGUGAUCCGGUGGUUCUGAAUGGAAGGGCCAUCGCUCAACGGAUAAAAGGUACUCCGGGGAUAACAGGCUGAUACCGCCCAAGAGUUCAUAUCGACGGCGGUGUUUGGCACCUCGAUGUCGGCUCAUCACAUCCUGGGGCUGAAGUAGGUCCCAAGGGUAUGGCUGUUCGCCAUUUAAAGUGGUACGCGAGCUGGGUUUAGAACGUCGUGAGACAGUUCGGUCCCUAUCUGCCGUGGGCGCUGGAGAAUUGAGGGGGGCUGCUCCUAGUACGAGAGGACCGGAGUGGACGCAUCACUGGUGUUCGGGUUGUCAUGCCAAUGGCACUGCCCGGUAGCUAAAUGCGGAAGAGAUAAGUGCUGAAAGCAUCUAAGCACGAAACUUGCCCCGAGAUGAGUUCUCCCUGAGACUUUAAGUCUCCUGAAGGAACGUUAAAGACGAUGACGUUGAUAGGCCGGGUGUGUAAGCGCAGCGAUGCGUUGAGCUAACCGGUACUAAUGAACCGUGAGGCUUAACCUUACAACGCCGAAG